rnacentral:rRNA from 1 species
CCUACGGGAGGCAGCAGUGGGGAAUAUUGGGCAAUGGGCGCAAGCCUGACCCAGCAACGCCGCGUGAAGGAAGAAGGCUUUCGGGUUGUAAACUUCUUUUAUCAGGGACGAAAGAAGUGACGGUACCUGAAGAAUAAGCCCCGGCUAACUACGUGCCAGCAGCCGCGGUAAUACGUAGGUGGCAAGCGUUAUCCGGACUUACUGGGUGUAAAGGGCGUGUAGGCGGGAUUGUAAGUCAGAUGUGAAAACUUUGGGCUUAACCCAAAGCCUGCAUUUGAAACUGUACUUCUAGAGUGCUGGAGAGGCAAGCGGAAUUCCUAGGGUAGCGGUGAAAUGCGUAGAUAUUCGGAAGAACACCAGUGGCGAAGGCGGAUUUCUGGACUGUAACUGACGCUGAGGCACGAAAGCGUGGGGAGCGAACAGGAUUAGAUACCCCAGUAGUC